AGCAGCCGCGGUAAUUCCAGCUCCAAUAGCGUAUAUUAAAGUUGUUGCAGUUAAAAAGCUCGUAGUUGAAUUUCGGGAUCAGAUUGUCGGUCGUGCCUCGAUACGCACUGGCAUUAUUGGUUCCUACCUUCUGAAGAACCGCGAUGUCAUUAAUUUGGUGUCGUGGGGAAUCAGGACUGUUACUUUGAAAAAUUAGAGUGUUUAAAGCAAGCUAACGCUUGAAUACAUUAGCAUGGAAUAAUGAAAUAGGACGUUCGAUCCUAUUUUGUUGGUUUCUAGGAUUGACGUAAUGAUUAAUAGGGAUAGUUGGGGCAUUAGUAUUCAAUUGUCAGAGGUGAAAUUCUUGGAUUUAUGAAGACUAACUACUGCGAAAGCAUUUGCCAAGGAUGUUUUCAUUAAUCAAGAACGAAAGUUAGGGAUCGAAGACGAUCAGAUACCGUCGUAGUCUUAACCAUAAACUAU
rnacentral:rRNA from 1 species